rnacentral:rRNA from 1 species
UACGGGGGGGGCAAGCGUUGUUCGGAAUUACUGGGCGUAAAGGGCUCGUAGGUGGCCAACUAAGUCAGACGUGAAAUCCCUCGGCUUAACCGGGGAACUGCGUCUGAUACUGGAUGGCUUGAGUUCGGGAGAGGGAUGCGGAAUUCCAGGUGUAGCGGUGAAAUGCGUAGAUAUCUGGAGGAACCCCGGUGGCGAAGGCGGCAUCCUGGACCGACACUGACACUGAGGAGCGAAAGCCAGGGGAGCAAACGGG